GACGUAGGAUGCAAGCGUUGUCCGGAAUUAUUGGGCGUAAAGAGUUCGUAGGCGGUGGCUUAAGUCUGGUGUUAAAGCCCGAAGCUCAACUUCGGGAUGGCAUUGGAAACUGAGUUGCUAGAGUGCAGUAGAGGUAACGGGAAUUCCAGGUGUAGCGGUGAAAUGCGUAGAUAUCUGGAGGAACACCAGUGGCGAAAGCGUGUUACUGGGCUGCAACUGACGCUGAGGAACGAAAGCCAGGGGAGCGAAAGGG
rnacentral:rRNA from 1 species